AUGCUCUCAGAUAAAAUAUUUUCAUCCCUGAACAGCGAGAAGAGAGAUAUGAUUUAUGAUAUUUUUCUUGAUUAUGAGAGCAUGAAGUGCACUGCCAGAGAAUUUGAUUUGUCCGAUUUUGUGAAUAGUCUUCACAGAAGUAUCUCUAAGGGUUACAAUGGCGACAUGGUGGAUUUUGUUUAUGUAGAUGAGGUGCAGGAUCUAACCAUGACACAAAUAGCACUUCUUAAGUAUGUGUGCAGGAAUUCCAGGGAGGGCAUCCAUUUUGCGGGAGAUAUUACGCAGACUAUAGCAAGCGGGGUUGAUUUCAGAUUUGAAGAUAUUCGAUCACUUUUUUGUACCACAUUCCUCUCGAAAACUAAAGCAUUUAAUCAAGGAAAUAAACAUGGUAAACAAUGCCAUCUCUCUGAUAUGUUCCAACUUACUCAAAAUUUCCGCACACAUUGUGGGAUUCUUCGUAUGGCCCAAAGUAUAAUUGACCUUUUGUACUUCUUUUUCCCAUCAAGUGUUGACAAGCUUCAUCCAUAG
rnacentral:rRNA from 1 species